UCACUGCCCAGCUGGGAUCUCAGGGCUUCAUUUUCUGUCCUCCACCAUGAUGGGGUCAACCGCCAUCCUCGCCCUCCUCCUGGCUGUUCUCCAAGGAGUCUGUGCCGAGGUGCAGCUGGUGCAGUCUGCAGCAGAGGUGAAAAGGCCCGGGGAGUCUCUCAGGAUCUCCUGCAAGGGUUCUGGAUACAGCUUUACCAGCUACUGGAUCGGCUGGGUGCGCCAGAUGCCCGGGAAAGGCCUGGAGUGGAUGGGGAUCAUCUAUCCUGGUGACUCUGAUACCAGAUACAGCCCGUCCUUCCAAGGCCAGGUCACCAUCUCAGCCGACAAGUCCAUCAGCACCGCCUACCUGCAGUGGAGCAGCCUGAAGGCCUCAGACACCGCCAUGUAUUACUGUGCGAGACACACAGUGAGAGAAACCAGCCCCGAGCCCGUCUAAAACCCUCCACACCGCAGGUGCAGAGUGAGCUGCUAGAGACUCACUCCCCAAGGACCUCUCUAUUCAUCCGGGGAGGAAACACUGGCUGUUUGUGUCCUCAGGAGCAAGAACCAGAGAACAAUGUGGGAGGGUUCCCAGCCCCUAAGGCAACUGUAUAGGGGACCUGACCAUGGGAGGUGGAUUCUCUGACGGGGCUCUUGUGUGUUCUACAAGGUUGUUCAUGGUGUAUAUUACAUGGUUAACAUCAAAAGGCUGCCUAACAGGCACCUCUCCAAUAUGACAGUAUUUUAAUUAGUGAAAAUUUUACACAGUUCAUCAUUGCUUGCUUGCUUUCCUCCCUCCUAUCCACUCUCACUCACUCCUUAUUUUCUACUUAAUUUUACAAAAUCAUUUAAUCCCUUUUUGAACUAUUAAUAGGUUAUCUUUGUUUGGUGAUUGUUUUCCUUUCAAUAAUAUGUACUGGAUAAUUAAUCUUUGUGCCAAUUCGUAAGUAUUCUGGUGUAAUGAAGACUUCUUUCAUAAAAAUUGGAUAAAUUCAAAUAAAGAUAAAUUUUUAAAAACAUACGAUCUAUCAAAACUGAACCAUUAAGAAAUAAAAAAUCUGGGUUGGGUGUGUUUGCUCAUUCCUGUAAUCCCAGCACUUUGGGAGGCCGUGGCCGGUGGAUCACCUGAGGUCAGGAGUUCGAUAUCGGUCUGGCAAACGUGGAGAAACCCUGUCUCCACUAAAAAUACAAAAAUUAGCUGGACAUGGUGGUGCUCGCCUAUAGUCCCGGAUACUUGGGAGCCUAAGACCAGAGAAGAGAUUGAACCCGGGAGGCAGAGGUUGCAGUAAGCCAAAAUCUAGCCACUGCAUUCCAGACUGGGCAACAGAGUGAGACUCCAUCUCAAAAAAAAAAAUCUGAACAGACCCAUGAGUAAAGAGAUUGAGUCAGUGAUUUUUCAAACAUCUCAAAUCAAAGAAAAGUCAAGAACUUCAUGGCUUCACUACUGAAUUUUAUGAAAAAUUUUAAAAAAACUAGAAUCUCUAUACAAAUUUCCAACAAAAUAAAGAGGAAAAAAUACAUGCAAGCUUAUUAUGGAAGGUCCUAUUUCCAAAGCAAGGAAAAGACACUCCAAAUAAAUAAAAUUACAGGCUAAUAUCCCUGAUUAUCUAGUUUCAAAAACUCUCAAGGGUGAUGAGAAACCAAAUUCAACAGCACAUUAACAAUAGAAUUCACCAUGAUCAGGUGCGGUUUAUCUCUAAGAUGCAAUGAAGUUUCAACCUGCAGAAAUAAAUGUGAUAUAUCAAAUUAAAAUAUUGAAGGACUAAAACCAUAUGCACCAUAUGUCCAUGUCAAUAGAUGCAGAAAAAGCCUCUGUCAAAAUCCACUACACUCUAAUUUUUAAAAAUCUGAACAAAUUAUGCAUAAAAGGUAUACACCUCAACAUAAUAAAGACUGCAUAUCACAAGCCCACAACUAACAUUAUACACAGUGACGAAAAUUUUAUUUUCCUCUAAGACUAGAAACUAGACAAGAUGCUUCACUAUCACCAAUAUUACUAAACACAGCACUGGGCGGUCUAGACAAAACAGGCAAGAAGAAAAAAUAGAAGUCAUCCAUAUAGUAAUGAAUAAAUUUUAAAUAUAUGUUUUACAUAUUAUAUGCUCUUCUGUAUACAAAGCCCUAAAUACUCCACCAAAAAAGAUUGAAACUAAUGAAGAAAUUCAAUAAAGUUGCAGAAUCCAAAAUCAAACUUACGUUUCAAGAUGGCAGGUUAGAGGCAUUGCUAGUAUACCUCUUCCACUUGGAAGGACAAACUGAUGUGGAGAGAUGAACAUUGUGGGCUUAUUUUCAAGAAGCAAUGCAGGAACUGAACAGAAACACUGAAAUAAUCUACAAACUUUCUGAAAAAGCAGGAAGCUGCAGCCUACACUGUGAGCCAGGUGAAGGGCUGGGAGUCCCCAGCAUUUGAGGGAGAACAGCCAAAAAUUUCAGCCAGUGGUCCCAGGUUGAAAGUAGCUCUCAACAGGGGUGUGUAAUAUAACCUAGGGUUGGGACGAAUCCCCUUGGCCAGAGCCUGGGUAGGGAAGUGUUAAAAGUGGGCUCUGCAAGUUUAGGAGCCAUGGGUGCAGGAGCUGGUGCCCUGCUUUGCAGCAGACAGGAAGGGGCAUGGCAUGAAACCCAUGGCUGCAGUCUCCAUGGGGACAGCCUAUGACUCCUGGCAUUUGCAGGUAUUGAUCACAGGUUGACUGAAACUCAUCUAACUGCUGCCAGUGGAACACCAUGGGAGUGGAUCAGCCUCACCAAGUGUGUGGGAACUGUGUGGGGCCUGCCACCACCUGCCACUCCCCACCCCCUGCCCAAACUUCUGUGCAGCAGAGGCAGCCAUGGUCCCAUCUGGAACAUCAUCCCAGUGGCCUGAGAACCACCCCUGUCCCCCACACCCACAGGGCCUGCUGCUUGCCCUGCAUACAGAGACUCAGAGCAGAAACCCACCUGGCCCUACCCUCACCUUGCUUUGUGCAGCCACUUGCCCUGGCAGCUUAACACAAAGGACAGCAUCUUUUGGGAGCUACAUAGCCACACACACUGCCUAAGAAUCCAUAGUAGCCCCCAUACCUGGGCAACACAAGGCUUGCAAAAAUCCCACUGCUAAUAAUGCAGCUGGUGCUCUUUUGCAAGCACCACCUCUUAGCUGGAGGCCAACCAACAGUCUAUUACAGUAUCUCCUGGUAGACUAACACUGCAUCCUGGAAGGAGAAAAUGACGGUGCGAUCUCAGUUAUCACCAUGGCCUGCACCACUUUGGAUGACCAGGAGAUCCUGAGUCUCUCCAUGUGACCAGUUCAUUACUACUAUAACCAGCAUUCAAGAAUGCCAGUACACAAAGGCUAUCAAUAUCCAUGGAAUUUCACAGAGUCUCCAUCACUCUCCUGCCUGCCACUCCCAUCAGACCCGGUUCUGCUGCUCACUGUUGAAAAAUAUGAGGACAGUUCACAUCACUGGAUCACUUAGAGACAUUUGCCCACACCAGCCUGAAGUGUGUCAACGUCACUGGGCAGCUAGACCUAGAGAAGAAACAUAACUCACAGUACCAUGGCUCCCAGGUUCUCCUCCUCUUAGGGGAAGGGAGUCCACCACAUUGAGGGAACACCCCAUGGGACAAGAGAAUCUGGAUGGCAGGCCUUGAACACCAGAUCCCUCCACUGGUGGGAAACUUCUUCUUGCAGAAGUACUGUUGCAGCACUGGGCUCAGCUGGGAAAGUCUUCAGCUCUUUCUCAACAGACAGCCCUGUUGCUUGUGAAGAAUCUUGAAGAAGAGGACGCCUUUCCCCCUUGUACCCCACUGCAGGCACACUUGGGGUCUCUCCCACAAGACCUCAGCAUGGGUGCAACUAUAGACAGCCUUUCUGGAACACAUCAUUGUGACUGCAUCCCCCAGAAAGAGCACUUUCUGGAUUCAGGCUUGCAUGAGACAGAGAGUCACAGUUCCUCUCUAUUUGGCACAUCAACAUUUGUACAGAUGAAAAAACAUGCCUGUCUUAUCUGAAUAGCCAGAAUACUGGGACAGCAGUAGGUCUGAGAGGUGGAUAAAUUUCCUACUGACUUGACAAGAGAGCUGAGGUGGUUCCAACCCUUCCCACCGAUAAGACCUCAGUGUGACUCACUAAAAACUCUUUCAGCCAACUCUGUCAAGGCUGGGACUUAAUUUACCCACCUGCUUUAGCCACAACUAGUUUCUACCCAAGGAAAAGUCCUCCACUGAUCUGAAGCUUGAGCCAUCAAACAAGUAAAUAAAUCACUGGGGACAAAUAAAAUAAAUACAUGCAUGCCACAGAGGAAUGACAUAAGGUUUAAGAGACCUCUACCAUUCUAACCCCAUAGAAGAUAGUGAACUUGCUCACAGACUGAGCAGAUUUCUACUGCAAUCAACACAUAGGAAAGCCAUCAUACAAAGAGUCUCCAUAACCACGGAACUCUUACAGAGUCUUCACCACUCUAAGGACCAAAAACCAAAUCAGGUUGUAAUUAAUUAUAAGCAUUAAAGUCUCAUUCUUAAGGGAAAAAAAUCCAUUUAAAAACAAACACAAGAAACAGUCAAAUCAAACAUAAAUUCAAUAAUAAUUAGAAAAUCUACCAAAAUGAGAGGAAAUGAGAAAAAUAAUUGGGGAAAAUGAGAACACAGGGUGCUGUGCCAGUGCCGAAAGGUCACAAGGUCACACUACCUCUCCAGCAAUAAACCAUAACAAAAAUGGAGUCUUUGAAAUAUCAGAAAAGAAAAUCAGAAUGUUGAUUGAUAAGCUACUCAAGAAGAUAUCAGAAAAAGGCAAAAAUCAUAAUAAAUAAAUUUAUAAAACUGUUCAGAAUAUAAAUACAAAUUUUUACAGAGAGAUAGACAUCCUAAAGAGAAACCAAUCGGAACUCCUGAAAAUUUAAAAAAACGCAGGGAAUUGGAAAGGGAAUUACAAAAUGCCAUGGAAAGUUUGAAAAAUAGACUAGAAAAAAGUAGCAGAAAUAACAAUAGACUAGAAACAGUACAAAAUAAAAGUAGAAGUAAAAUAUUCGAGG